AAACAGUUAUGCUGAUUAAAGGAGCAAUAAAUGUGGCUAGUUAAGUGUCUGGAGCCUCAGCCUUUGUUGCUCGAUUACAGUCUUAGAAUAGCCACACAAAAAAGGAAAAAGGAAAUUUCUAAAGAAUGGAGGAUAUCAUAUAACACUGUGCACUAAGGCCUGGUGCACAACUGAGCACAAGGUCAGGAACAUUAGUUAGUUUGAGACCGAUGUCUCACAGGUCUUACCUGAAAAACACGAGUUAUGAGUGAAAAGGAAAUCCAUGAAUCCUUUCUUUUGAGGAAAAGUUGCAAAGGACAAGAAGAGAGACUUUUGCCAGACUAAGAUGUGGCUUUUUCUUUUUAGUGGAGUCACCUCUUCACAGGGCAGCUUUGCACAGCGCCAGUUUUUUAACGCGUGGCAGCAACUGUAGGCAGCGUAUGUGCCGAGGCUGUAAUUCGUCUGUAAGUGAUGGAGGCAGCAUACACCCACAAGUGUUCUAGUCUAACCUGACAUGCUGAAGGAGGAGGAUGCCCACAAGCACAGAAAUGAAUGAGGUCCAGAAUUUUUUCUCUUUACAACAUGUGUGCUUCAGUGACCAGCAGAAAAGGCCAGACUUCUGAAGAGAUUCGGUACAAAGAAAUUCACACCAGAAAUUCUGAAAACUGUAAAGUACUUUAUUUUGUAUAGCUUCCCUCUUUUUCACAGAAGCUACUUUGUAUAUAUAUAUAAAUGUGGAAGUUGACUCUUGUCUGGCUGUAAAAAAAAAAAUAAAAUAAAACACAAAAGAAUUAUUCCCUCCCUUGAAAUUAAAAUGGCAGAAAGAAAAAAAGUUACUCACUCCUGGCCCUGGCUCCACUGUGCCUCUGACUCACUCCUGGUGUCUAAACCAACCAAUUAUCAUUCCUCAUGAGUCCUGUGUUAACCUAACCUCCUAAACACAAGCCAGUCAGAGUCACUGCAGAAUUCCCAGAAUUCCUGUAGUCUUUUCAAAGUAAAAGCCACAAUGAUCCAGUUUUACUGUCUUGUUCUGAAAACAAAAUGACCAAAGUCCAGACCUCAUAUCUGGAUCCAGCCCUGCCUGCACUGUUGGUUUAAUUUAAACAUAUUCCAUUAUUCUUAUCUCAUCGUGACAUAUCUUAAACUGUUCUUAUCUUUCAUCAAAAACUACGACUAUCAUUGCUGGAUGUCAUCACUUGCUGUAUCAUUUCUUGGCACUUUCCCACAGAUGCUUGAGUCUUGUUUUUGUGUUAGUCUUCAAUCAACUCUGAGUCCAAGCUUAUUUUUUUUCACCGAGAGUCAAUUUUAAUUUAUUUAUUUUUAAACAUUCGUCACUCCCGUGGAAGCACUUUGGAAAGCUGCACCUCUUCUGGCUUCCUCCUCAAACCUCAGACGCUAUUAUUCAAUUUCCUACAGUCAGGCUUUCUCCUUAUUUCUUGCGUAGAGGUGCAGGCUUCUCUCUUACAACAUCAUCACCACUUCCUCUGCUUCACCUAGAUGUAAGUGUG